CAGCAGUAGCCGCGGGAAUACGUAGGUGGCAAGCGUUGUCCGGAAUUAUUGGGCGUAAAGGGCUCGCAGGCGGUUUCUUAAGUCUGAUGUGAAAGCCCCCGGCUCAACCGGGGAGGGUCAUUGGAAACUGGGAAACUUGAGUGCAGAAGAGGAGAGUGGAAUUCCACGUGUAGCGGUGAAAUGCGUAGAGAUGUGGAGGAACACCAGUGGCGAAGGCGACUCUCUGGUCUGUAACUGACGCUGAGGAGCGAAAGCGUGGGGAGCGAACAGGAUUAGAGACCCCUGUAGUCCCUGUCUCUUAUAC
rnacentral:rRNA from 1 species